rnacentral:lncRNA from 1 species
AGCCCGUCCUACUGUUUUAUUGUCCCUCAACAAGUUACACAAGUUUCUGUUUGACAACUGCACGGUCCCUGGACUCUGUCCACACACAUAAACCUUACCUAACACUCACUCACUAGAGCUGAAUACUGAGGACAUAAAAAACAGUAACAGUAUAAGAUGUCAAAUGUCCGUCUCACUUUUCCUCUGUAUGCAAAUACACAGUAAUGGCAGUCAAAAGGAAAAGAGACAUGAUGGUACAGUGUCUCUCCGGCACACUCAGACUAUUUGAAUUCAUUUUACUAGCUGGUUAGUCUGGUAUUAUUUUGCUAAACACAAAGCAACAGCAUCCUGGUAAGCAACCGUGUGUCUCUCUGUGUUUAGGUUUAACGUUAGAGCAAGCUUCAGUACUGUCUCUCUUUAUCUGUCCACACACACACACACACACACUCAGGUUUGUUUUUGUGAAAAGUGGGGACUCUCCAUAGGCGUAAUGGUUUUUAUACUGUACAGACCGUAUAUUCUAUUGCCCUACACCAACCCUACACCUCACAGGAGACUUUCUGCAUUUUUAGAUUUUCAAAAAACUUCAUUCUGUAUGAUUUAUAAGCUUUUGUACCCGUGGGGACCACAAUUUAGGUCCCCACCGUGACACGAGUCCCCAUGAGUCUGUGUGUAGUCAGGUUUAAGUCCCCACCAGAAUAGAAAAACAGGUACACACACACAUAAACAGAGUCCCGCCCACAAACACGCUCGAGGAAAAGAAAGAAACAAAACGAAACUGUUUGUGGAGUCCCUUUAACACCGAGCUGCUUGUUCUCCAUGCAAAUGGCAGAUGAGCAGGACUCAUGCGUGUGCUCGGUUUGCCUCCAGGACCUGCAGGAAAACAGUGCAAACAGGACUCCUCAUGUGGGACAGAUCUGGAAGAAAACGAGGCUCCAGCUGCAGAUCCAGACGAAUCCAAUGCCCACCAACCACAGAGGACAUGGUCUGGGCUGCUACAGCACGAGCAGAGGAGCAGAGGCAGCUGGAAAAUCCAAGACGACGGUUACGGAUCGAGAGGCUGAGAUGGAGGAAAUCCAAAAGGCAUCAUGUGGCC